UACGUAGGAUGCAAGCGUUGUCCGGAAUUAUUGGGCGUAAAGAGCGCGCAGGCGGUAACUCAAGUCAGAUGUGAAAUAUCCGGGCUUAACCCGGAGGGGUCAUUUGAAACUGAGUAACUAGAGUACAGCAGAGGAUAGCGGAAUUCCCGGUGUAGUGGUGAAAUGCGUAGAUAUCGGGAGGAACACCAGUGGCGAAGGCGGCUAUCUGGGCUGAAACUGACGCUGAGGCGCGAAG
rnacentral:rRNA from 1 species